GCACAAGCGGUGGAGCAUGUGGUUUAAUUCGACGCAACGCGCAGAACCUUACCAGCCCUUGACAUCCCGGUCGCGGACUCCAGAGACGGAGUUCUUCAGUUCGGCUGGACCGGAGACAGGUGCUGCAUGGCUGUCGUCAGCUCGUGUCGUGAGAUGUUGGGUUAAGCCCCGCAACGAGCGCAACCCCCGUCCUUAGUUGCUACCAUUUAGUUGAGCACUCUAAGGAGACUGCCGGUGAUAAGCCGCGAGGAAGGUGGGGAUGACGUCAAGUCCUCAUGGCCCUUACGGGCUGGGCUACACACGUGCUACAAUGGCGGUGACAAUGGGACGCUAAGGGGCAACCCUUCGCAAAUCUCAAAAAGCCGUCUCAGUUCGGAUUGGGCUCUGCAACUCGAGCCCAUGAAGUUGGAAUCGCUAGUAAUCGUGGAUCAGCAUGCCACGGUGAAUACGUUCCCGGGC
rnacentral:rRNA from 1 species